GUUCCUGCUAAUGAUGCAUCCGCUUUAAUACUUCUGCGUUUGCAGGCGUGAUUCGAUGUUUGAUUGGUCCAGAGCAGCUCAGAUUCGGAGCAACAACAGCUUGACAAACAUUUUUCGUCUUUGUUGUGCAUUGUCAUGCAUUGUAUUGUCAUGGAUGGAGGUUCUUUCAUCCAUGGUAUUGUAAUAUAUACACUUGGUUUAAAUUUAAUUUGAUUUGAUAAAUUUGAGCCUAUUCUUAGUGAUAUGGGAGUUGUCUUGCAAGUACCCAUAAGCCCAAAUAUAUAUUUUUCAGUGAAAAGUAACAUUAUGAAAAAGUUGAUGCUGGAUGGUUUAAGAAAAUGCCUUAUGGUCAAAGUCGUGUGUACUGUGUUCCUUACAUCAAGCACUGAAAGCAUCACCGUGAAGAGACAAGGGUCAAGGAAUGAGGUGUUUGUGUGGAAAUCCCAUUACACCAUCAAGAGGGAGACCGCACUGACAGGGGUCCAAGAUCCAUCUCAGGCCCUACUGUAGACUGCCCGUCAGCAGACGGAGGCCCACCGACGGACGUCGGCUCAAUGGCCAACAGUGGCCCGCCGGCCGGCUGACGGUGGCUCGCCGACCGACGCCGGCCCGUCGGCCGACCACGGCCCUCCGGCUGAUGGUGGCCCGCCAGCUGACGGAGGUCCGCCGGCCAUUCGUAGCACGCCCGCCGACGGCAGCUCGACGCACAUCCUGGCCUUAACUAUGGCUAUGUCACCCCCAAGAUUAGUUCGCCCCCCCCCCCCAGUCCCUAGGUCACCAGUUGCGGGCGCUCCAUCUGACGGUGUCGUCCGACGGCUCCACGGUGACCAGCGCCGCCACUGCGGAAACCAUCGGACCCCGAAAAUGCUGCUAGCCGUACACGAACAAAAGGCGCCAGGCACCCAGGACCAGCGCCCUGCUCCGAGGCGGUAUCCAAAGAAGGCCGCAUAGUGCACUUGCUGUGCUAAGGCAUAGUGCGCGCUGACUGAUAGGAACAAAUGACGGUCAGUUAUCAGAUCUCAGUAUGGAACUCAAGAUAGUCGGAGCCGACCUGGCCCGGUGGAUGGUGUGCCAGGGUUGAUUAAGUGUCGAAAGGAGUGAGACGCCCAGAUAUGUGAAGGAUACGUCGAUACGAGCCCCGGCUUCGACUCCCCGUCCCAAAACGAUGUUGGCUGUGAUUGGAGUUUGGUAUCUUUACGGAUUCCCCCCCACCCCCACCCCGGAAUUUGUGCUAUGUAAUAGGACGAUAAUAUGUCGUGGUCUCAUUUUGGCUCCAUAUGGUAAUAGGUACUUAAUUGGACAGAUGUUGAUGGUAUUGGUGGUGGAUGUAAAUGACAGGUUUGGCGAGCGCGAAUUAGUAAUCGUGAGUGCACUAGCUGCAAUCAGUCGCGCGCUUAUUGCUGAGCACCUGUGAGCAAGAAAAUGGUAUGAAAGUGGUAGUUCGUCGUGAAAUCUGUGUACUUUUGGAUUAGGUUUUCAGAACAGAAGUGUAUUUUUGCCGUGUCCACUGCAGCUCUGGAACAGAAACAUAGAGAUCGGUUGUGUGCUGUAGCAGGGGCAAGUAGUCCGUGCCAAAAAAAAAUCAAAGGUGAUAUGUGAAUUUAAGUGAAUAUACCUCGCUUUAUUUU
rnacentral:lncRNA from 1 species